UCCCAGGACACGUCGUGACGUCACGCUCUCCAGAGCUCCGCCCACUCCGCCAUGAUGGACCAACGUCUACACGACAGCUUUUGACGAGGAAAGACUCGGCGGCUGUGGAUGGCGGCCGUCAAUCGUAACGACUGGCGUCACCGUGGAUUUACAGCGAUCACUUUUGACAAGUUGCAGGCGGGCGGCGGGUUUUUUCACGGUGGCAGACCCUUCUGUUGGCGCCGUAAAGCACAGCGGUGUGUUCAGCUGUGACUGGGACUCAUUAGAUGAGGAGAAUGUCCGUCAUGGUGCCUGGCUGUCUGCGUGUUGGUCAUCCAGCAGGGGACUGAGGAAGAAAGGAAAGGACCUCACUUGGAAGAGGAUCAGCGAGGAAGAUGAAAUGUCAGAUUCGCAGUGACCACUGAAGGUAUAAUUGAUACCCAGGUGGUUCGGCGAUGAAUCGGCUGAACUGUGGAGGCUUUCAGUCUCCUGAGCGCAGCCGAGUUUCAUCGAGUCCCUCCGUCUCCGUACCUUCUGUCAGAUUGCCCUGUGGAAACGGCGGCCCUGCUCAUAUAACUUCAUUACUUUUUAAUGCAGCUAUAAUUACUCCAGCAUGUUGUAAUUGGACAGAGAUAUGAGAACAAUA